rfam:Schistosoma curassoni strain Dakar, Senegal genome assembly, scaffold: SCTD_contig0000374
AUCCAGCUGACGAGUCCCAAAUAGGACGAAACGCGCGUUCUGGAC